rnacentral:rRNA from 1 species
CCUACGGGGGGCAGCAGUAGGGAAUCUUCCACAAUGGGCGCAAGCCUGAUGGAGCAACACCGCGUGAGUGAAGAAGGGUUUCGGCUCGUAAAGCUCUGUUGUUGGAGAAGAACGUGUGUGAGAGUAACUGUUUACGCAGUGACGGUAUCCAACCAGAAAGUCACGGCUAACUACGUGCCAGCAGCCGCGGUAAUACGUAGGAGGCAAGCGUUAACCGGAUUUAUUGGGCGUAAAGCGAGCGCAGGCGGUCGAGUAGGUCUGAUGUGAAAGCCUUCGGCUUAACCGAAGAAGUGCAUCGGAUACUGGUCGCCUUGAGUACAGAUGAGGAAAGUGGAACUCCAGGUGUAGCGGUGGAAUGCGUAGAU